rnacentral:snRNA from 14 species
GAGUGAACACAACUCUCUUAGAAUUUUUUCUAGCAGCUUUUCUGAUUUUGGUCAGAAAACUCAU